rnacentral:rRNA from 1 species
CAUGCAGUCGAGCGGUAAGGCCCUUCGGGGUACACGAGCGGCGAACGGGUGAGUAACACGUGAGCAACCUGCCCCUGACUCCGGGAUAAGCGGUGGAAACGCCGUCUAAUACCGGAUACGACCCUCCACCUCAUGGUGGUGGGUGGAAAGUUUUUCGGUCGGGGAUGGGCUCGCGGCCUAUCAGCUUGUUGGUGGGGUAACGGCCUACCAAGGCGAUUACGGGUAGCCGGCCUGAGAGGGCGACCGGCCACACUGGGACUGAGACACGGCCCAGACUCCUGCGGGAGGCAGCAGUGGGGAAUAUUGCGCAAUGGGCGAAAGCCUGACGCAGCGACGCCGCGUGGGGGAUGACGGCCUUCGGGUUGUAAACCUCUUUUACCACUCACGCAGGCUCCACGUUUUCGUGGGGUUGACGGUAGGUGGGGAAUAAGGACCGGCUAACUACGUGCCAGCAGCCGCGGUAAUACGUAGGGUCCGAGCGUUGUCCGGAAUUAUUGGGCGUAAAGAGCUCGUAGGCGGCGUGUCGCGUCUGCUGUGAAAGACCGGGGCUUAACCCCGGUUCUGCAGUGGAUACGGGCAUGCUAGAGGUAGGUAGGGGAGACUGGAAUUCCUGGUGUAGCGGUGAAAUGCGCAGAUAUCAGGAGGAACACCGGUGGCGAAGGCGGGUCUCUGGGCCUUACCUGACGCUGAGGAGCGAAAGCAU